rnacentral:tRNA from 1 species
GGAGAGCUGGCCGAGUGGUCGAAGGCGGUUGACUUGAAAUCAAUUGUGGGGCAACCCACCGCGGGUUCGAAUCCUGCGCUCUCCGCCA